GAGACAUCAAGAGAUUACGGAAAAUCACGCGAGAUAACUGGCUUGCACCUUGUUGGGUUUUUUCAAGGGCAGAGGGGAGAUUCCUGGCGUGCAUCUACUUAAUUUGAAGAAGAACAUCACCUGUCUGUAAUCCACCUGCGUAAGUACUGGUCAAGGGGCUCAUCGGCUAUCAAGUUAUAGAUUUCAGUGGCUAAUAGAAGACACUGCUGAGGUCAGACGAGAGUGCAUCCUCAAAGGUCUGUGUGUACCUAAAUGAAGAUCCAGAGAAGCUGGUGAGGGAGUACAUGGACGUUGAUGAAUGCGCAGAAAUGGCCAAAGCCGAGGCUGUCCUCGGAAUCGUCAUUUGAGCAGAGGGUGCAGAGGCUGCCGAUGCACAUCUGGAUGUUGGGAUUGUCCUGGAGGAGGUGGAAGUUAUGAACAGCUUGGGCAGUGUAUCUUCUGCAAUAGUGAUGCUGCUGGGACUAAUCUAUGCACUAAACUUGAGCUACCCUCAAGUUUAGUGCGUUCAGCACUCAACUUGCUCAGUAACUCAAGCAUACCUUUGAAGUAAUACAGAAAAUAAUAAUGAAAUUGGAUGGAAAGAACUUAUCAAAGAAAGCACAAGUUCUCAAUAUGAAACUCGCUGCUAAGUUG